rnacentral:lncRNA from 10 species
GUGUGUGUGUGUGUGUGUGUGUGUGUUGAGACAUAGUUUUGCUCUGCCACCCAGGCUGGAGGACAGUGUGUGUGUGUGUGUAUGUGGUGUGUGGAGACAUGGUUUUGCUCUGCCACCCAGUCUCAAAAUCAAUCAAUAAAUACAAAGUGGGACUUGGAUGUUUCAAAUAAACAGAGAAGCAGAAGGCAGUAGAGAGUGACUAUGUCAAGUAAGGGAAGGAUCAUGAUUAUCUAGAAAACCUACAGACAUGAGAUGAAAACUGAAGCAAACCCCAACUAGGGAUACUGUUAUAUUUGUGCCUCAUGAGAUGGGUGGGAAACUCUGUGGCUAAAUAUUUUUGAGGUUUUUAGAGAGAUAGGAUAUAAUACAAAAACUGAUUUUUUUGUAAACAACUCUAGAUCUACAAAAUAC